GGGAGGGGUUGACUAGUGACAGAGUUAGGGAGGGAAGGGGUGACUAGUGACAGUGAGGAAGGGGGUGACUAGGGACAGAGUGAGGGAGGUGGUGACUAGUGACAGUCACCACCUCCCUCACUCUGUCACUGUCACCCCCUCCCUCUGUCACUAGUCACCCACUCCCUCCCUCCCUCUGUCACUGGUCACCCACUCCCUCCCUCCCUCUGUCACCAGUCAUCCCCUCACUCUGUCACUAGUAACCACUUCCUUCCC